UGUGGGGCUGUUUAGAUUCCUGUGAGGUCUUGGGUGUCAAAAAUCAAAAGAUCUGCUUCAGAAAGGCACUGAACUCACAGAUGCAGCACAAUGUUGCAAGGGUCUCCUUAGUGUUCUGGUUUCGGAGUUAGAUUGUGAUGAAGCCCGGUUCAGCCUGUUCUUCAUGUCACCUGACACAUAAGGAGCCACUUGAGUGCUGCAAAGUUCACCGUUUGACAUCCCGUUCUGACGUGUGCUCUAGGACAGAAGUCCUUCCACUACCUCCAGGCCCUGAUGCUUCCUCGUUCCUAGAGUUCCUUGGCUGUGGCUGCAUCACUCUGGUCUCUGCAUCACUCUGGUCUCUGCAUCACUCUGGUCUCUGUGUCCAGGGCCACAUGGUCACCUCCCCAGUGUCAUUUAUCUUAUGAAGACACCAUUGCUGGACUUAGGGACACCAUGACCAUCCAGCAUGACUGGAUGGUUUCCUAAAUGAAUCUCUUGGAUUACCUGCUCCA